AUUGAACGCUGGCGGCAGGCCUAACACAUGCAAGUCGAGCGAGCGGCGGACGGGUGAGUAAUGGCUGGGAAACUGCCUGAUGGCUGGGGAUAACUCCUGGAAAAGGUAGCUAAUACCGCAUACCAUCAGAUGUGCCCAGAUGGGUUUUGCUAGUAGGUGGGGUACCGGCUCACCGAGGCGACUAUCCCUAGCUGGGCUGAGAGGAGGACCCUCCACACGGGAACUGAUACACGUUCCAGACUCCUACGGGAGGCAGCAGUGGGGAAUAUUGCACAAUGGGCGCAAGCCUGAUGCAGCCAUGCCGCGUGUGUGAAGAAGGCCUUCGGGUUGUAAAGCACUUUCAGCGGGGAGGCGUUACCCGCAGAAGAAGCACCGGCUAACUCCGUACCAGCAGCCGCGGUAAUUC
rnacentral:rRNA from 1 species